GGAGCUGGCCCUCAGCCAAAACAGGGGUCGCCCUGUGGCUGAAGGCAUCCCCGGGGGAAGCUCAUCUGAGCCUGUCACCCCCCAGGACACAAGUCCCUACAUCAGAUGCAAGUAUCCACUUAUGUCUUUAAAAAAAAUAAAACUAAUAUAUAAAUAUAUAUAGCCUACUUUUUAACAAAUAUAUAUCCACCCACCCAACAGUUGUGGAUGGUGUCAUCUGCCUGCUUCAGCCUCCGACAGAAACAAACCCUGUAGCUGUAAGUCUUCCAUACUCAGAUGCCUCAGAUGGUAGUUCAAAGUAUUCUGAAACAGUAUAUUUUCCUGCAUUACAGGAGGGGGGGGGAGGAGGAGGAGGAUGAAGAAACACUGUCUGCUGCCACAGGGAGAGAUCCAGAGGGGCAUCCUGAAGUGUGUCUUAAUAUAUAGCUACUGGCAGUGCCCAUUCAUUUACAUUCUA